rnacentral:rRNA from 1 species
UGGGGAAUUUUGGACAAUGGGCGCAAGCCUGAUCCAGCCAUGCCGCGUGCGGGAAGAAGGCCUUCGGGUUGUAAACCGCUUUUGUCAGGGAAGAAAUCUUCUGAGUUAAUACCUCGGGAGGAUGACGGUACCUGAAGAAUAAGCACCGGCUAACUACGUGCCAGCAGCCGCGGUAAUACGUAGGGUGCAAGCGUUAAUCGGAAUUACUGGGCGUAAAGCGUGCGCAGGCGGUUUUGUAAGACAGAGGUGAAAUCCCCGGGCUCAACCUGGGAACUGCCUUUGUGACUGCAAGGCUUGAGUGCGGCAGAGGGGGAUGGAAUUCCGCGUGUAGCAGUGAAAUGCGUAGAUAUGCGGAGGAACACCGAUGGCGAAGGCAAUCCCCUGGGCCUGCACUGACGCUCAUGCACGAAAGCGUGGGGAGCAAACAGGAUUAGAUAGCCCUGGUAGUCCACGCCCUAAAACGAUGUCAACUGGUUGUUGGGAAGGUUCCUUCUCAGUAACGUAGCUAACGCGUGAAGUUGGCCGCCUGGGGAGUACGGCCGC